rnacentral:rRNA from 1 species
AUUGAACGCUGGCGGCAGGCCUAACACAUGCAAGUCGAGCGAGCGGCGGACGGGUGUGUUAUGUAUGGGGAUCUGCCCGUUGGAGGGGGAUAACUACUGGAAACGGUAGUUAAUACCGCUAACCAUCAGAUGACUCCAUAUGGGAGUAGCUUGUAGGUGAGGUAACGGCUCCCCUAGGCGACGAUCCCUCGCUGGUCUGAGAGGAUGAUCCGCCACACGGGGAAUGAGACACGGCCCAGCCUCCUACGUGAGGCAGCAGUGGGGAAUAUUGCACAAUGGGCGCUAGCCUAAUGCAGCCAAGCCGCGUGUAUGAAGAAGGCCUUCGGGUUGUAGAGUACUUUCAGUCGGGAGGCGUUACCGACCGAAGAAGCACCGGCUAACUCCGUGCCAGCAGCCGCGGUAAUAC